AAACCCGAGUAUAAUGCAACCGUCCUCGUGUACAGGAUCAUAACUUUUCCGAUUAGGUCUGAGAUCGAGAAAGAAAAAGCAGCGGAAACCGAAGAGAGGCGAAGAGAAGAGCAGAGAAGAAGAGAUGAUAUAUCGAAGAUGGAGUCUGCUGAUUACCCCACCGCUCAUUGUGGGGUCCAUCGUAUCUGCGACCCUCUUCUACAACUUCUUCUUAGGCGGCAACGAGCGUUUUUUUCGGAAGUACAGGGAGCAGGAGUUAUUGCAAUCCACUAAGAAGGAAUGAGAAAAGGGUCAUCACCACAAUCUGGUGAUAGUCCUUCCUUGUGCUCGUGUGUUUGUACAUGUGCCUAUGCAAACUUUUUUUCAAGUUGCAGUUUGCUAACAUGAAAAUUUGAGCUUAAUAAAAUAUCAUGGCACAUGUAAUGACUAUUUCUGUGUUUUGUUAUCAGUGAAAAAUAAAAAGUUAAAGCUCUUAAAAUUCA